AAGCCAACUCACGAUGCAUCUCUCUAUUUUUGAAACCACAAAACCAAUAAAGGAAAAAAAAUCAGAACUUGUAAAAUAAAACCAAAUCAAAACUCAAUUUUUUCUUCUUUCUAAUCUCCAACGCUCCUUAUUCCUCUUUCUCUAUAUCUCGCUUCUCAAACCAACACAAUAGUUUAAUUUGAAGGAAAAAAAACAAAUAUCUCCUAAAUCCAAUAUCCAAAGAGUCCUUACUCAUACAGUCAAAAUGGAUCCCAAAAAAAAACUACAACAAAAAAACCUAAGAUAAAAAAUCACCUACAAAUUGACGAAAUAUGGCGAGGCACAAAGAAGUAAAGAAGAAACAACAUAAAUCAAAGAAGCAGAGAGCGACUCAAACAAACGUGAAAUAACGAUCAAAGCAAGCAUUCAAAAAAACCUCAUCCCAAACAGUCCCCAAAAGCUCGAAAUCAAAAAUCAACAGAGAAAGAAAGAAACUAAAGUCGAAAAUUAGAAGGAAAUGUGACAAACAAAAGAGUUCAAAGGCCAAAAAUGAAAGUAGAAGAAUACCUUUUCAGAUGUUAUUGAUGUGGUGAUAAAUCCCUAGGUAAAGUUCUUCCUCUCUGCCCUCUUUGAUUUCUACUUUUCUUUUAUCUCCUUUUGAUUGUUAGUUACGAUUGUUGUUGUUGCUAGAUGAUGUUAAUCCAUGAAUUCAUGACCCUUUUUUUAGUGAAAUCUUAUAUUUUUGUUCUCUUUUUACUAUCAGUAUGUUUAUGGAUGGUGUAUUUUCUUUGGGUGGCUAGGGUUUUCUUAUCACCUUUUUUUAUAUUUUGAUCUAUCCUCGUCUUAUAGUGUGGAUGUAGGGCUUUGAACUUAUGUUAUUGAUGAAAGUGGAAGGAAUCAAAAUUAUUUUAAUUUUGAUCAAAGUUCUGCUGUAUUGAUGCUUAUGAUAACCUGCAUUUCCACUUUAUUAUGUUUGACUCCUUUGCUUGUGUAUUUCCUACUAAGAACUAAUAUGUUAUUGCCUAUGCACACAAGUUUAACAAGACAAAAACAAAAAAUCUGCUAUGCUCUUAGACAUUAAGAGCCAAGAGGGUCAAGUCAAAUAAAAAUUCAGUAAACUUCAAAAGAGGGACCACACAUAAAGAUUCUUUUUUUUUGUAAUUUUGUUAGAUUUUAUGUAAAACAAAAGUUUUAUUUAUUAUAAAUGUAAAACUUAUUAUGCUUGUAAUUUUUUAUUAUUUCAUGAAUUAUAAAUUAAUGUAAAAGGGAAAAGAAAACCUUUUUUAAAUUUUAAUGUAAACAUAACUUCUACUAAAAAAACCCAAAUAUUUUGAAUUUCUUUAAUCAAAUUAAAUAGAAUAAAAAAUAUAGAUGAAAUUAUUAUGCUUAAUACUAAUUGACUCUAAUUCAAUUCAAAUUAAGCAUUAUUAUUAUUAAUAUCACUCAACACAAUGAAAAUAAAAUAAAAACAUAAACAUGUAAGUCAAAAAGGCUCUCUUGCUAGGACUUAGUAAAUAAAACAAAACAAGACAAGACAAAACCAAUUAGCACUUACUUUGAAAUAUAAU
rnacentral:lncRNA from 1 species